rnacentral:rRNA from 1 species
GCGGGAUGCCUCAGUAACGGCGAGUGAGCGGCAAAAGCUCAAAUUUGAAAUCUAGCACCUUCGGUGUUCGAGUUGUAAUUUGAAGAUGGUAACCUUGGGUUUGGCUCUUGUCUAUGUUCCUUGGAACAGGACGUCAUAGAGGGUGAGAAUCCCGUCUGAUGAGAUGCCCAUUCCUAUGUAAGGUGCUAUCGAAGAGUCGAGUUGUUUGGGAAUGCAGCUCUAAGUGGGUGGUAAAUUCCAUCUAAAGCUAAAUAUUGGCGAGAGACCGAUAGCGAACAAGUACAGUGAUGGAAAGAUGAAAAGAACUUUGAAAAGAGAGUGAAAAAGUACGUGAAAUUGUUGAAAGGGAAGGGCAUUAGAUCAGACUUGGUGUUUUACGAUUAUCUUCUCUUCUUGAGUUGUGCACUCGUAUUUCACUGGGCCAGCAUCGAUUCGGAUGGCAAGAUAAUGGCAGUUGAAUGUGGCUUCACUUCGGUGGAGUGUUAUAGCUUCUGCUGAUAUUGCCUGUCUGGAUCGAGGGCUGCGUCUUUUGACUAGGAUGCUGGCGUAAUGAUCUAAUGCCGCCCGUCUU